UGAUCAGUUGAAGGUAAUCCAGAAAUGUGCUGACAGAGGGCUGCAGACACUUCAGACGUUGGGCCGCGGUGAAGACGGAGGGGUAGUGAGGAUCCCACCAUGGCUCUGACCAAUGACACCCACAUGCUGAUCACACUCGUGGUCUGCUCCUUUGUAGCUUUUAUUGUCCUCAUGUGUCUGUGCUACUUCACCUGCAGGCUGGCGGGGGCUGCACACAAAGUUCUGGAAUUUUUCUGAGGCCAAGCCUACGAACCUGGGACUUCAGGAGAAUGAUCAUUACGUUGUGGACCCUUCUGUUUGUGGUCAAGCUGUCAACAUCUGUCAGCUUCCCAG